CAGCCGCCGCGGUAAAACGAAGGGUGCAAGCGUUAAUCGGAAUUAUUGGGCGUAAAGAGUACGUAGGUGGCUAUAUAAGCGCAUGGUGAAAGGCAGAGGCUUAACCACUGUUAGCCUUGCGAACUGUAUAGCUUGAGUGCAGGAGAGGGAAGCGGAAUUCCUAGUGUAGCGGUGAAAUGCGUAGAUAUCUGGAGGAACAUCUGUGGCGAAAGCGGCUCACUGGACAAUAACUGACGCUGAUGCACGAAAGCUAGGGGAGCAAACAGGAUUAGAUACCCCGGUAGUCCCUGUCUCUUAUACA
rnacentral:rRNA from 1 species